UGCUUGCAUCAUGAUUUACAUUUGAGUGAGUGGCGAACUGGUGAGUAACACGUGGGAAACCUGCCCAGAAGCGGGGGAUAACACCUGGAAACAGAUGCUAAUACCGCAUAACAACUUGGACCGCAUGGUCCGAGCUUGAAAGAUGGCUUCGGCUAUCACUUUUGGAUGGUCCCGCGGCGUAUUAGCUAGAUGGUGGGGUAACGGCUCACCAUGGCAAUGAUACGUAGCCGACCUGAGAGGGUAAUCGGCCACAUUGGGACUGAGACACGGCCCAAACUCCUACGGGAGGCAGCAGUAGGGAAUCUUCCACAAUGGACGAAAGUCUGAUGGAGCAACGCCGCGUGAGUGAAGAAGGGUUUCGGCUCGUAAAACUCUGUUGUUAAAGAAGAACAUAUCUGAGAGUAACUGUUCAGGUAUUGACGGUAUUUAACCAGAAAGCCACGGCUAACUACGUGCCAGCAGCCGCGGUAAUACGUAGGUGGCAAGCGUUGUCCGGAUUUAUUGGGCGUAAAGCGAGCGCAGGCGGUUUUUUAAGUCUGAUGUGAAAGCCUUCGGCUCAACCGAAGAAGUGCAUCGGAAACUGGGAAACUUGAGUGCAGAAGAGGACAGUGGAACUCCAUGUGUAGCGGUGAAAUGCGUAGAUAUAUGGAAGAACACCAGUGGCGAAGGCGGCUGUCUGGUCUGUAACUGACGCUGAGGCUCGAAAGUAUGGGUAGCAAACAGGAUUAGAUACCCUGGUAGUCCAUACCGUAAACGAUGAAUGCUAAGUGUUGGAGGGUUUCCGCCCUUCAGUGCUGCAGCUAACGCAUUAAGCAUUCCGCCUGGGGAGUACGGCCGCAAGGCUGAAACUCAAAGGAAUUGACGGGGGCCCGCACAAGCGGUGGAGCAUGUGGUUUAAUUCGAAGCUACGCGAAGAACCUUACCAGGUCUUGACAUACUAUGCAAAUCUAAGAGAUUAGACGUUCCCUUCGGGGACAUGGAUACAGGUGGUGCAUGGUUGUCGUCAGCUCGUGUCGUGAGAUGUUGGGUUAAGUCCCGCAACGAGCGCAACCCUUAUUAUCAGGUUGCCAGCAUUAAGUUGGGCACUCUGGG
rnacentral:rRNA from 2 species